rnacentral:rRNA from 1 species
UACGUAGGGCGCGAGCGUUGUCCGGAAUCAUUGGGCGUAAAGAGCUCGUAGGCGGCCGGUUGCGUCUGCUGUGAAAUCCCGGGGCUUAACCCCGGGCGUGCAGUGGAUACGGGCUGGCUGGAGGCAGGCAGGGGAGAAUGGAAUUCCCGGUGUAGCGGUGAAAUGCGCAGAUAUCGGGAGGAACACCGGUGGCGAAGGCGGUUCUCUGGGCCGUAACUGACGCUGAGGAGCGAAAGCGUGGGGAGCGAACAGG